GCCUGCUCUGUUUUUUCCCCAGCCCAGUGAUCACUCAUUGAUCCCCUCAUUGUUUCCUAUGGAGUUCAGAUGUGGUUCAGAAUCCUACUCAGCAACCCUCAAUACACUGACUUUUUCAAGGAACAUGGCAGAAGCAGAAAAAACAGCUGAGGGAAAUGGUGAAGGCCUAAGCCUGAGGUUGCAGAAUUCUCCAAGAUCUUAAAUUGGGAAUAUCCGUAAAAGAAGUGCAUAUCCAGAAUUCCUUAUUCUCACAUCCUUCAAGUUAAUGAUCUCGGUCACUGGUCAGUGUGUGGAAGCCACAAAGCACCCAGCAGCUGGACCUAGAGAAACAGCCACUUGCGAGCCACCCAGGCGCCUUGACUGCCAUUCACAGGGUGAGCCGGGCUUCGGUGAGAACAGAGAUUUCCAGUGUGGUCGCUGGUACA